GCGGGGAGAGGGAGAGACAGUCAGGUCAAAGGUUACGAAGAAGAGAAAGAAGAGUUGGUGCCUAGCAUGUCAUAUAUAGCCUGCGGGGAGAGGGAGAGACAGUCAGGUCAAAGGUCACGAGGGAAACAUGGAUAUAUGGGAAUGCAGGUAUCAGGAAACGCCCAUGAAAGCCUUGUCAAGUGUAUGUUUCUUAGGUUCGUGGUACAGCGGAAGGGUCACACUACCACCAGGGUCAUUAAACUACCCCUAGAAAUGCCCACAACGCCUACGAAAGCCUUGUCAAAUGUGUGUUUCUUAGGUUCAUGGUACAGAAGGGUCACACUACCAUCAGGGUCAUGAAACUACCCCUGGAAAUGCCCACAGCCCCCACGAAAGCCUUGUCAAAUACGUGUUUCUUAGGUUCACGAUACAGAGGAAGGGUCACACUACCACCAGGGUCAUAAAACUACCCCUGGAAAUGCCCACAACGCCUACGAAAGCCUUGUCAAAUGUGUGUUUCCUAGAUUCACGGUACAGAGGAAGGGUCACACUACCAUCAGGGUCAUAAAACUACCCCUGGAAAUGCCCACAACGCCUACGAAAGCCUUGUCAAAUGUGUGUUUCCUAGAUUCACGGUACAGAGGAAGGGUCACACUACCACCAGGGUCAUAAAACUACCCCUGGAAAUGCUCACAACGCCUACGAAAGCCUUGUUAAAUGUGUGUUUCUUAGGUUCACGGUACAGAGGAAGGGUCACACUACCACCAGGAUGUCGUAGAUAGCCUGGGAAGGGAGGUCGAGUCAGGUCAGAGGUCACGAGAAUGAAGAGGAAGAAGAGUC